GGCGCCACAAGUUUGGAAGGAACCAGUUUCAUCCUCUCAGAGGUUCCGUUCGGUCUGACCCGGAUGGACCCCAACGGAACUUCCGGGAAGCUAACAUGUCUACCAUUACGUCAGAGGUGAAGGUCAGCAGAGCGAACCGAACCGGUAGGUUUCACCAGAACCAGUGAGGCCAGCCACCGAACCAAGUGGUACAGGAGAACUCGGCUUCAGAGGCAGAUUCUGAUGGAGCCGGCCCGGCCCGGCCCAGUGUACCUGAGGAGCACGACGACGGUUUCCCUGAACGAGCGCUUCUCUCAGCUACUGAUGACCCGGCUGACCCGACCCGGCAGGCCCGGUUUCAGGAGCCGCAGGAGGAGAGCGGCGCUGGUUCA